UGGUGGAGUUUUGCUGUAUGUACACAUUUUAUCUUAAUGGUGUCAAUGCAGUUUGGCCUUCCCUAAUGAAGAGAAGAUACUAAGAUCGUAAACCUAGGAGAAGAAACAUAAAUAGAGGAAGUUGGUGGCAGCUACUCAAGAAUGCAGCCACACAAUUUAGGAAAGAGCUAGAGGAAAAGGUUUAGGGAAAUAAUGAAAAAGGAACAAUUAAGUAAAAAUUGCAUCCCUCAAGCAAUGCAGAAAAUGUUCUCGGCCCUAAAAG
rnacentral:lncRNA from 1 species